UACGUAGGUGACCAGCGUUGUCCGGAUUUACUGGGCGUAAAGAGCGCGCAGGCGGUCGAUCAAGUCGAGUGUGAAAGCCCCCGGCUCAACUGGGGAGGGUCAUUCGAUACUGAUCGACUCGAAGGCAGGAGAGGGUAGUGGAAUUCCCGGUGUAGUGGUGAAAUGCGUAGAUAUCGGGAGGAACACCAGUGGCGAAGGCGACUACCUGGCCUGUUCUUGACGCUGAGGCGCGAAAGCUAGGGGAGCAAACAGG
rnacentral:rRNA from 1 species